rnacentral:rRNA from 1 species
CGGGGCUACUGCUCUGUAAUUGGCAUGGGGGCGACCUUCACCCUCGCCCGAGUACCCAUUGGAGGGCAAGUCUGGUGCCAGCAGCCGCGGUAAUUCCAGCUCCAAUAGCGUAUAUUAAACUUGUUGCAGUUAAAAAGCUCGUAGUUGAAUCUCACGCCCGCCCUAGUGUUUUCCACUACGCGGACGCCUCGUUACUUUGAGAAAAUUAGAGUGUUUCAAGCAGGUUUCGCCUGUAUAAUUGAGCAUGGAAUAACCUUGUAUGACCCUGUCGUACCGUUGGUUGACUUUGGGUAAUGGUUAAUAGGAACGGUUGGGGGCAUUCGUACUCGACUGUCAGAGGUGAAAUUCUUAGAUUUGUCGAUGACGCACGACUGCGAAAGCAUUUGCCAAGGACGCUUCCAUUAAUCAAGAAC